AAUAUUUUAAUAAUUUUAUACUACAUUAUAUAAAUAAACAUAUAAAAUAUAUUUAAAAAAGUGAGGCUAACACAUUUUUGUUUGCAAUAAAAAGCUGGGUACCACUAAUUACAUAUAAAUAUAUACAAAUCAUAUUAAUAAACAUGAGUGACACAACCCCCAAAAAAAUUCACCUACCCAGCGUCACCCUCAACUCGCCCCCACUCUCUCCAUAGUCAUCAGCAUCCCUCACUCCCUCCGCCUCUCCAACUCCAUCUCAAUCCCCUCUCACUGUCCUACACGGCGGCCAGCAAGGCGGCAUGAGGCGCGGAGGCAAUGCGGCGGCGUCAUUUGCAGAGGAAGACGACCGUUAGUGGCGGUUGGAGGCGAGACCAGAGGCGGCGGCGACGGAUCCCAACCGAUCUCCCCGAACUCUCCCUGCUAGAGAGUUGGAUGUCACAAAGCAUGUUGAACAGGGCACUAUUAAACCCCAAGAUUAAUCGCCAGCUCAUGUUCUGUCUAUAUAAAAAUGAGAGGAUGCAUUACAUCCCAUAUGUCUUUCUAGCUAAACCUACACUCUGUAAUUUAUAUUGAAAUCUCCUAAAACACAUAUAUUUAGGAACGGAGGGAGUAUAUUUGAUAUGGACAUUUGUGUUUAUUAGUACUGUUAACAUCUUGGAGUACUGUCUACAUCUACAUCACUAAUUGUGACUAUUCCUGAUACAAUAGUUAUAUUUCCUUCCAGGAUUGUUAUCUGAGUUUCAGUCUGCACUAAAAGAUCUUCAGCGUACCCUUGUUUUAGUUUUGCAGGCAUCAAAACUAUAUCCGGCGGUCAUGGUUGUAUAGGCCGCUGACCUUAGCCUACUUCUAUGAGAGCUUUAGCAUUGUCGGCGAAGUCUCCACUGGGCCGCCAAGAUCACCAAUGGUACUUAGAUGGAUGCAUUACUUUGUUGUGAAGAUGAUAAUGCGUUAAAGAUAGACAAGGGAUGGCAAGUAAAUGAGGAGCACCAAAUGUACCUGCCUCAAGCAUGUAAUGCUACCUAGCUGAAACAUUGUCUAAGAAUGUGAUGUACAAACUCCAAAGAGGCAUACCAUGUUCAGCAGCGGAUAUGGAGGACACGGAUAGAAGUAGGCUAAGGUCAGCGGCCGGCUCGUGGCAGGAAGACGUACCAGGUGAUGGUGUUGCCGCUGCGGCCGCCGCAGCAGUCGAAGCUCGCUCUCUCCAGACGUCACCGUGGUAGGAAGUCCGGCGUGGCCCUUGCAGGCGCGGUGGAGCUCGCGGGAUGGCGUCGUCACUUGAGGUUCCGAG
rnacentral:lncRNA from 1 species